UACGAAGGGGGCUAGCGUUGCUCGGAAUCACUGGGCGUAAAGGGUGCGUAGGCGGGUCUUUAAGUCAGGGGUGAAAUCCUGGAGCUCAACUCCAGAACUGCCUUUGAUACUGAAGAUCUUGAGUUCGGGAGAGGUGAGUGGAAUUCCGAGUGUAGAGGUGAAAUUCGUAGAUAUUCGGAAGAACACCAGUGGCGAAGGCGGCUCACUGGCCCGUUACCGACGCUCAGGCGCGACAGCGUGGGGAGCAAACAGG
rnacentral:rRNA from 1 species